AGAGUUUGAUCAUGGCUCAGAGCGAACGCUGGCGGCGUGCCUAACACAUGCAAGUCGAACGUGAACGGGAGCAAUCCCUAGUAAAGUGGCGUACGGGUGAGUAACGCGUAGGCAAUCUACCCCAAAGUCUGGAAUAACCUGCCGAAAGGCGGGCUAAUACUGGAUAGAGCGACGGAAUCCGUAAUUGGGUUUUUCGGGAA
rnacentral:rRNA from 1 species